rnacentral:rRNA from 1 species
GAUGAACGCUGGCGGCGUGCCUAAUACAUGCAAGUCGAGCGAACAGACGAGGAGCUUGCUCCUCUGACGUUAGCGGCGGACGGGUGAGUAACACGUGGAUAACCUACCUAUAAGACUGGGAUAACUUCGGGAAACCGGAGCUAAUACCGGAUAAUAUAUUGAACCGCAUGGUUCAAUAGUGAAAGACGGUUUUGCUGUCACUUAUAGAUGGAUCCGCGCCGCAUUAGCUAGUUGGUAAGGUAACGGCUUACCAAGGCAACGAUGCGUAGCCGACCUGAGAGGGUGAUAGGCCACACGAGAACUGAGACACGGUCCAGACUCCUACGGGAGGCAGCAGUAGGGAAUCUUCCGCAAUGGGCGAAAGCCUGACGGAGCAACGCCGCGUGAGUGAUGAAGGUCUUCGGAUCGUAAAACUCUGUUAUUAGGGAAGAACAAAUGUGUAAGUAACUAUGCACGUCUUGACGGUACCUAAUCAGAAAGCCACGGCUAACUACGUG